UCACCAAAUAGCUCAGUUGGGAGAGCGUUAGACUAUAGAUGAAAAGUCCCUGGUUCGAUCCCGGGUUCCGGAA
rnacentral:tRNA from 1 species